CAAGAGGGUGGAAGGGCAGGUUUCAAAACAUUUCAAAACAAGGCCCAGGAGCCCCAGGUUGGAAGCUGGGAGACCCAUUCUGCAGCUUGCUGAUAUAUGACCUUGACUAGCUCUCGAGCUUCUCUGUGGGCCUCAAGCAGGAAAAGGAUUCUGGGCGGAAAGGGCUGCUCUUCAAAGACAGUUCUAUCCUGACCCCUCCCAGCUCAGGGAGAGCUCCUGUGACCCCCAGGCUACCAGGAGGACAGAGAGAACAGUGCUGCCUGGAACCAGAGAUGACAUCACACAUAGGAGGAAGGUGGAACUCUCAGGUCACAGCGAGUACAGAGACUUGAACAUGAUACAUACCCCCGUUCUCAAAAAGCAAGCUGCCAUUAGAUGAGGCUUACCCAAGGAUGAAAAGAUACAGAAGGCUAUCCUCACCUUGCCUUUCAAAGUCAUGACUGGCUUUACCUGGACGUACCUGCUAGCGCGUGGGAGAAGAAAAGACAGCAGGCAAGUUGUGAGCAAGGCAAAUGCCCUUGUCAGGGCAGUGGGGUUCUGUAUGAAAUGGCUUUCUUUUAAAUUCCUCUUAUUAUGCUAUAAAGUUGAUUUAAUAAUAAAAACAAGCUAUAGACUUUUUAAUGCAUAACUGCCUAUAAUAAUAAAAAUUAUGGGAAAAUGC